UACGUAGGGGGCAAGCGUUGUCCGGAAUUACUGGGCGUAAAGCGCGUGUAGGCGGCUAUGCAAGUCGGGCGUGAAAUCCCACGGCUCAACCGUGGAAGUGCACUCGAAACUGCGUAGCUAGAGUCCCGGAGAGGAAGGGUGGAAUACUUGGUGUAGAGGUGAAAUUCGUAGAUAUCAAGUGGAACACCGGUGGCGAAGGCGGCCUUCUGGACGGUGACUGACGCUGAGAGCGAAAGCGUGGGGAGCAAACAGG
rnacentral:rRNA from 1 species